rnacentral:rRNA from 1 species
UACAGAGGUGGCAAGCGUUGUUCGGAAUUACUGGGCGUAAAGGGCGAGUAGGUGGCCAUCUAAGUCAGACGUGAAAUCCCCCGGCUUAACCUGGGAACUGCGUCUGAUACUGGACGGCUAGAGUAUGGGAGAGGGGGGUGGAAUUCCGGGUGUAGUGGUGAAAUGCGUAGAGAUCCGGAGGAACCCCAGAGGCGAAGGCGGCCCCCUGGCUCGUACCUGACGCUCAGCCACGAAAGCAUGGGGAGCGAACGGG